UUGGAAUUUUGAAUGUGUCUGUGGUGACUC
rnacentral:piRNA from 1 species